GGAGGGUGCAAGCGUUGUUCGGAAUUACUGGGCGUAAAGCGCGUGUAGGCGGCCCUUUAUGUCAGGUGUGAAAGCCCUCGGCCUAACCGAGGGAGUGCGCCUGAAACUGAAAGGCUUGAGUACGAGAGAGGAGGACGGAAUUCCCAGUGUAGAGGUGAAAUUCGUAGAUAUUGGGAAGAACACCGGUGGCGAAGGCGGUUCUCUGGAUCGAUACUGACGCUAAGACGCGAAAGCGUGGGGAGCAAACAGGAUUAGAUACCCUGGUAGUCCACGCCGUAAACGAUGGAUAUUAGUUGUUGCGGGCUUAUAAACUCGCAGUGACGACGCUAACGCAUUAAAUAUCCCGCCUGGGGAGUACGGCCGCAAGGUUA
rnacentral:rRNA from 1 species